rnacentral:rRNA from 1 species
AACGCGAAGAACCUUACCUGGAUUUGACAUGUACGUGGAGACACUAGAGAUAGUGUUAUCUCGCAAGAGACGCGUAGACAGGUGCUGCAUGGCUGUCGUCAGCUCGUGCCGUGAGGUGUUGGGUUAAGUCCCGCAACGAGCGCAACCCUUGUCGUUAGUUGCCAGCGAGUGAAGUCGGGCACUCUAACGAGACUGCCUGGGUUAACCAGGAGGAAGGUGAGGAUGACGUCAAGUCCGCAUGGCCUUUAUGUCCAGGGCUACACACGUGCUACAAUGGCAGGUACAGAAGGCAGCAAGACCGAGAGGUGGAGCAAAUCCUGAAAGCCUGCCCCAGUUCAGAUUGAAGUCUGCAACUCGACUUCAUGAAGAUGGAAUUGCUAGUAAUGGCGAGUCAGCAACAUCGCCGUGAAUACGUUCCCGGGCCUUGUA